UUUUUUUUCUUGUUAGAUAUAUAGUUUACAUGUUAAAGUAACGUUUAGAAUCGGUCCAUGAACUUUCACCCUAGUUUAUAUUUAGUCCAUGUACUAAAAAUUCGUUAAUUGAAUUUGGUUCUUAAAAUUAACAAAAGAGUAAAUUGUAGUAAUGGUCCCUCAACUUUAAUUCAAUUGGAGCAAUGGUCAUUCAAUUAAAAAUCCAUUACCAUUGGUCCCUCAACUCAUCAAAAUGUGUAGUUAUGAUCAUUUUUAUCAACUUCGUUAAAAUUUUGUCAAAAUAAGUUAUGUUGGAAGGAUCAUUGCUACAAUUGGGGUCCCUCAACUCAUCAAAACGUAUAGCUAUGGUCAUUUUCGUCAACUUCAUCGGAAUUUUGUCAAAAUGAGUUAUGUAUGAAGAACCAUUGCUACAAUUGGGUUAAAGUUGAGGGACCAUUUCUCUAGUUGGAUUAAAGUUGAGGGACCAAUGGUAAUGAAGUUUUAGUUGAGGGACCAUAGCUGCACGUUUUGAUGAGUUGAGGGACCAAUGGUAAUAGAUUUUUAGUUGAGAGAUCGUUGCUAUAAUUUACUCUUAACAAAAAUAUGCACAAUUUUGAGUUCACAGACGAAAUCUAAACUAGGACCAAUUCUAAAUUUUUACUUUUACAUGUUAUAUUGUCAAACAUCAAUAUCUGAUAUUUUCAUAAAGUGGAUGGUUAGACCAAAGAUCAUGGAUGGAGUCAAUAAGUAGGCAAACCUGAGGAGAUUUUUCAGGCGUUGAAUAGCUAAUUGGCUUGCCAUUUUGUCUACUUUCUUUCCUGCAAAUUCAAGAAUCAAGACCUUAUUAGUUUACAUUGAAAUGUAUUAUAUGGGUUCUCCUUAAUCACGACGGCACAAAAAAAAAAAUGUAAAUAAGAAACUGAGAGAGUCCCAAGCGGUGGGAAAGAAGCCAAAAUUAACCCUGAACAAAGUUCAAAACAAAACAAGACCAGGCAAACCAUUUUUUUUCCCUUCUUGGCACCUAUAUUUAUUUUUGUUUUUUGAUUUUCUUUUAAUUUAUUCAACUCAAAGGCCAAAUAAAUAAGGAUUGUAUAUUUGAGUUGUUCCUUUAAGAAUUAACUAGGUUUUUAGUUUUAUAAGCUAUAUUGAAUCAAACUUGAAAUUCCGAGUGCAAGAGUUAAAUUUCUAUGAUCAGUAAUUUUAAUUUAUCUUCAAUUAAAUAAGAGUUUUCAUUGGAAGUACGUUUUUUUUUUUUUUUUUUUUUUUUUUUUUUUUUUUUUUGGAAAACCUCGACGGUACGAGGGUAAUUUUAUUGAUAACGAAAAAACAAGGUACACCUAGUCAGGGGGGGACAUAAACCUUACCCCUCCAAAAAACAGAGAUAACAAAAAGGAAUACACUAGAAAGAAGGGGGGACAUAAACCUUACCCUUCUAGAAACAAAAAAUGAGAAUGAUACAAAGAAAAGAGGGGGGGACAUGAAACCUAACCCCUCUAGAACCAAACAUGAAGGUCUAAACCUGCAAAACAAAUCAAACAACACCAUAAAGAUAGGAGAAAAAAAGGAAAGUGAGACAAACCUGGAUGCCGACAUGCACAUUAAUUUGAGAAGCGGUAACCAGGCAAGCCAACAUAGUCAGAAAACAGAGUAGCACGAACCGCCAUCGGAGGAGAAUCAUGCCAUGUUAAAGAUGGAGAAGACAAGCCCAUGUUAGCAAAAUUGUCCGCAACAAGAUUUCCUUCUCGAUAUAUGUGAGAUGCGUAGAAAGUCAUUUUCCGAAUGCGAUCCAAACAAAUAGACCAUUGCGUAUGAAGAGGCCAAGGAGGAUCAAAAUCAGAUGAUUGAAGAGCAGAAAUAACACUAGAACUAUCACUUUCCAACCAAAGACAGUGCCAACCCCGCUGAUAAGCAAACUCAAUACCAAUAAUAAUUGCUGAUAACUCUGCAAAAAAAGAGUUGCAAUGACCAAUCCGUUGACAGAAACCUCCGAGAAAACGACCAUGGCAAUUCCUGAAAACUCCUCCACAUGCAGCAGGACCGGGAUUUCCUUUAGACAAACCAUCUGUAUUAAGCUUAACCCAAGGAAACGAUCAUUGGAAGUACGUUAAUUAAACUGGUUUGAGCAUUAAGGAAAGAACUAGAACUAAUUAUCCAUAUAUGUAAAUUCUGCCAAAGUUCACAGUACUAAGCACGCGCAUACACACACAUAUGAUAAUAUAGUUUGAGUAGAAACAUAGAAAUUGAUAUUAAUCUCUUGCAUACCCGAAAUAAUCAGAACAUGAUUUAUUCUAUGCCCAAACAAAAACAUACACACACAACCGUACGUACGUUCAAGAUAUUUUCCAAACCUAGCAAUGGAACUAAAGGAGAUCAAAUUGCUUCACACAUGCACAAGCAACAAAUACAAAACGCAGGCACAUAUUUGCAGUGAGGGUUGGAGCUUCUAUUUAUACACCGAGUGAUAGAGACUAGCUCCUUUUUAUUUCUUUCUAUUUCAUUUUUGGGUUGAGACUAACUAUUUAAUCGACAUGUUUUAAUUACUCUCUGAAAUAUUGAUAUUGAUUGAUUGGACAACUAUGAAAGCAUUGGACCAUAUUUAAAUCGUGAUUCGUGACAAUAUAGUAAAAAACGAGAAGGAGCUCUCCACUCCUGGCUCCAAUACCAUAUCUUUAGCAGUUUUUUUUCUAUGAAUUCUUUUAAUAGGGUAAAAUGUAUAUUUUGUUGAGAUUUGACGAUGUGAGGAAAAGUUUGUCUCACAUCGAUGAGGGACAUGUUUUGUUAUGAGUUUAUAUGGUUUUGAACUACUUCUUAUAUGACCAAUUGGUUUUAUGGUGGAACUCUAAUUUUAUCAUGGUAUCAGAACAUAUUGUCCCUCGUGUGAAACCCUAAGGGUCACACGUGUUCAUGCGUCACCCAAUUGUUGUCCACGUGUAGGCUUGAAAAUCGGCCACAUGUGUCCGUGUUGAGAUUUGAUGAUGUGAGGAAAAAAUUGUCCCACAUCGGUGACGGACAUGUCUUGCUAUGAGUUUAUAUGGUCUUGGGUUACUCCUCGUAUGAUCAAUUGGUUUUAUGAUGAAACCCAAUUUCAUCAUAUUUAAGGUGGCGCCAUCCAAUUGUGAAUGUUUCCCAAUUUCUUGCUUUCUUUGUUACAUAUGAAUUAUAAGUUGCAUGUAGUACGUGAUUGAGAAAAAAAAGUUUGUGCAUGCGAAGAAGUUAGUAAUUAAUUAGUGAUUAUGUAGGUUUACUAGCAAGACAAAAUGCGUAACUAGCCGUCUUAGGAAAUUUUUUAAUCUUAAAACUCAUGAAUAUGCCCGCAAGAAAAACGCAUUUCUACUUCUUUAUAGUGGCACGUAAUGACAAUCAUACACUUAUAAUUUCCACUCCUACACACAAGCGCACAAGCUGACUCAUGAAUAUGCCCGCAAGAAAAACACAUUUCUACUUCUUUAGAGCAACUUCAGCGUGGGCUGGUGCUUGGGGGACGGGGGACGAAAUAGGGCUAGAUAGCUCGACCUUGAAGCGUCAGCAUGGGCAGCCCAAGGGAGAGUGGAGGCCCAAGCUCCGGGCAUGUGAGGAAUUGCCAGCCCGAGAGCCCGAGUGGAUGUGACGCUAGGGCUGACGUCAUCCUGGUGUUGGCCCAAUUUUAUAUUUUUUUCUGUCAGGCGCGUGCGACUCAUCCGCGUGUGGGGGCGUGUCCGCAGACAACUUUUCAGAGUAUGGGCUCGCGUUGUAGUCUACCGAUAUUACCGUUGGGAAGCCACGUGGCUUCCCACGGUCCGUUUGAUCUUAACGGCUCUUUAAAUUGAACCGUCUGAUUUGCAACGAUAAUAAAAAUAAAAAAAUCUUAUUUAAUAUCAACCGUUGGAUCUGAGUUCAAAUCCAACGGUUGAUAUUAUUCUGCUUUAUAAAUAAAUAAAUAAAUAAAAGAAAAAAUAGUUUUAAAAUUAAGAAAAGUUACCGUUGUGACAUGUGGCACAAUCUGGAGUGUUGGAAUUCAAUUUUUUUUUUCAAUCCAACUGUAGAGAUUAAUUAGUUCAAUAAAAAUUUAAAAAGAAUGUAAAAAAUCCGAAAAAAAAAACAUUCUCAUUAUCAUCUACCUUACAUCACAAUUUCAUAUUUUCUCAACUACUUUCAAUCAAAUUCCUAUCUUUCUCUCAAAGUUUCAAUCCAACUUUUUUCAACAAAAUGACUACUGAUGCAAGUACAAAUUGGUCACUUCUUGAAGAUGUUGCGUUGUGUACUAGCUGGGUUGAAGUUACUUAUAGUUUGCUUACGGGUAAUGAGAUGCAGUUGCUAGAAAUAUGGAGUCUUAUUCAUACCAAUUAUCUUGAAAAAAUGGGUGAGAAAAGAACCAAAGAAUCGAUGUCAAGUCGUUGGAAAUUACUUAGCCAAUCGUUUAGUACGUGGAGAGACGCAUUGGCACAAGCUAGUACUAAUCUUCGAAGUUGGGAAAAUUAUGCGGAUUAGGUAACAAUAUAUUAUUUAUUUGUUUGUACUAUACCCAAAUUUAUAUUAUAAUUAUUUAUUUGUAUUAUUUAUUUAUUACCUAUUUUCAUUUAUAAUUAUUUGUUUGUUUUAUCUAUUUGUUACCUACUUUCAUUAUAAUUAUUUGUUUGUAUUAUUUAUUUGUUACCUAGUUUCAUUAGAAUUAUUUGUUUGUAUUAUUUAUUUGUUAUCUACUUUCAUUAAAAUUAUUUGUUUGUAUUAUUUAUUUGUUACCUACUUUCAUUAUUUGUUUGUAUUAUUUAUUUGUUACCUACUUUCAUUAUAAUUAUUUGUUUGUAUUAUUUAUUUGUUACCUACUUUCAUUAAAAUUAUUUGUUUGUAUUAUUUAUUUGUUACCUACUUUCAUUAAAAUUAUUUGUUUGUAUUAUUUAUUUGUUACCUACUUUCAUUAUUUGUUUGUAUUAUUUAUUUGUUACCUACUUUCAUUAUAAUUAUUUGUUUGGGCCCAAAAAUACUGUUUUGGGCCGAGUUAGGUCUUUUUCGGCCCAGUGUGGGAUAGGCCGAGGUUAGACUCAUCCUCGGCCCAAAAGUUGUAAACAGGUGUCGUUAGAAGAUGUUCAACCCAUGGGCCGAGUGGUCGAAGUGGGCCAUAUCCUAUCGGAAAGAGGAAUAUGGAUGAAUCCUGUUGUGAGAGGGAGUCUCGACGGGAUCAGGAUGCUGAGAUUGAACACGGUUUGAUAAUGAGUUGUGUUCAAAGUCCUAGUAGGAAUAGGAUUGGUCGAGAUAAAGUUGGAUUAUGAUAAGGAGUUCUAAUCCAGGAUGAAUGAGAUUUAAUACAGGUUGACUGCUAUAUAUAGGGAGAGAAGACAUCGAAACAACCCCCUUCAAUUCAACACACAACUGCCCUACGCAAAUUCUCUCAACAACCUUGAAACUUUUUCCUUUUCUUUUUUCGCCGACACACCUUCAGUUUGGAGAAACAACACUGUGAAGGCAACCGGUGAUAUCUUCAGUCGGUAUAGAUAGCACUGUCACCGUAGAACCAGUCGGUUUCGCAGCAUCUUCAGUCGGCAUAGAUAGCACUGCGUCGAGGGUGACUGGUUAUCUAUCCAAGUCUCGGUCGAAAAAGAUUUCCGAAUCCUUAUUGGUUGAGGUCAUCUCAUUAGCUUUCUCGGCGAAGUGAGGUGUUACAGUUUAUUAGGCUCGGCACAUUGCAUGCCGAGUUAGUUUAUGAUUGGAUACUCUCAAGUGAGAUUUAGAGUUCGGUAUUCCGACGGCCGAACCACGUUUAUUGUUAAGACAUAUAUCCGCUUUGAGUAUUUGUGCCCUUACACUUUGGUGUCGAUUCGGCGUGAGUUUACUCUGACGAAUACCAUCACUGUGACCAAAUCCGACGACGAAGAUUUGUGAACUUCGUAAGAAUAGUAGCCUUGUCUUCAGGUUUGAGAACCCAAGAGGUCGAGACUUGUUCAUUCCUCGGUCGCAAUCGCAAGACGUAGAAGUCGGCCGCGCACUUAACACAACAUCAGCAUAUUUUACUCCUCGGGCGAGCUUGGCUGACGAGUUGGCACGCCCUGCAUUCAAUCGAAUGACGUAGUUAGCUCAUAGUUUACUCGGCAUGCGCGCCACGUAGGCUUGGUAGUUUUUAGGGUCAACAAUUAUUUAUUUUUUACCUACUUUCAUUAUAAUUAUUUCUUCUCCCACAUUAUGUAGCAACUUCAAGCACAAGCUUGGUAUGGUGCCAAAACUAAAAGCAAAAAUAAAUCAUUCAACCGGUGGGAAUGUUGGAAUAUUGUAAAAGAUUAUCCUAAAUUCAGAGUUGUGCCUGUCGGUCCAGAAGUUUUCAUGAACAACACUCAUCUACACUCUACACCUGAUCAUGGCUCGCAUGUUCAUGAAGAUGAUGCAGAAGAAGUGCCUAAAACGCCCUUCCUUGAACAAGCUUCGGGGUCGACCCGUUAUCCAAUUAGGCCUCAAGGUAAGAAGGCUUCAAAGAGAAAAGGGAGUACUUUCAAGAAUGAUUAUGCAAAGUAUAUGGAAGAACUUGCUCGCCAAGGUGAAUUGACUUUGGCACUAGAAAUGGUGAAAUUUGAGGCUAAUAAGGCUAAAGAUGAGGCAAAAGCUGCAGUUGUUGAGAGAAAAUUUCAAGCUAAUGAAAGGGAAAAAGAGCUACUUAGGCAAGAAAGGGUACUGGUUAGAGAAGAAAGAAUGACUUAACGAGAUCGUGACAUCAUGAACACGCCUUUACAAGGGAAGUCUCCAAAUUCUAAAUAUUUUUGGAAGUCAGAGAAAGAGGAUGUGGUGCGAAGAAGGCGUGCAAGAGAAGCAAGAGUAAGAGGAUAUGGUCCUAGCACGACAAGAGCAAAUCAUCCUAGCACCACAAAUUGAUUAAGUGAUAAUGAAUAGAGUACUUUUUGUAAUCGGAGCCCAUAAUUUUCCAAUCACUUUGGGUUGUAAUUUAUUAUUUAUUGAAUAGUGUACUUUAUGUUGUUUCCAAUUUAUUGAAUUUAACACUUUAUUUAUAGUGAGAGUAAAUUUAUUUAAUUUGGUAAGUUAUUUAUACUAUAUAAGAGAAUAUUUAUUCAAAUGACAAAAACACACCAAAUAAAAUUACAUAAACAUACCAAAUAAUUAAAAACUCACUAAAAAUGAACUAAAAAAAAACACACCAAAUAAUUAAAAAUGAACUAAAAAUGAACUAAAAAAACACACCAAAUAAAAUUAAAUAAACACACCAAAUAAAAACAAAUACACUAGAUGAACUUAUUUAUCUUCAACUUGUUUCAAUGCCCACUGGUGCUCUAUCAAGUCAUUUUGUCGGGCAUUGUGCAUAUAUGGCCUUUGAAGUGCAGUAUAUUGUUGAAUGACCAUUUCAUUGUAAUGUCCAUCCCUUUCUAAUGGCUCAUGUUGCAUGAAUUCUUCAAUGGCAUCAUGAGCAUAAUACAUACGUGUUCUUGACUUGUUCAUUGUGUUUGGCUCAUAUUCAUCAACGGCAUCAUAAUCGUACUCAUCCUCCACAAUCAUGUUGUGAAGAAUGAUGCACGUCAUCAUGAUGGAUCAAAGCGACUCUACAUCAAACAAUCUAGCAGCACCCCUGAUGAUCGCCCAAUGAGCUUGGAGGAUACCAAAACAACGCUCCACAUCCUUCAUGCACCCCUCUUGAUAGCUUGCAAAGUGUUUUUCCUUUGCACUUCGCAGACGUGGCACUAUUUUGGAAAAUGUUGACCACCUUGGGUAAAUGCCAUCUGCUAGGUAGUAUGGCCCAUCGUACAUACGUUCGUUGACGCAGUACGUGACUUUUGGUGCCUUUCCUUGCAGGACAUCGUUGAACACUAGGGUUUGGGCAAUGAUGUUGAGGUCAUUUUGAGGAUGGAUGAUGGAUUAUAUGGAUGAUUCAGAGGAUGGAUUAUAGGUGUGAGAUUUCAGAGGAUGGAUGAUGGAUUAUAUGGAGGAUUCAGAAAUGAUUAGGUUGUAGAUAGUGUCACGUGGCAUGCCAUCAUUCGUUAAAAAUAUGAUCGAAAUCUAUCUUAAAAGAUUUUGAAAAAGGUAAGGACAUGUGGCACGACGAGAUUGGAUAAAAAUCUUAUCGAAAUCCAUCAUCAAUAAUUGUCUUUUCGGGUAAUGACACGUGGCGCAACGAGAACGAUUAAAAAUCUAAUCGAAAUCUAUCCUCAAAGAUUCUAAAAAGGUAAGAACACAUGACAUGACGACAUUGGAUAAAAAUCUUAUCGAAAUCCAUCACAAAUAAUUGUCUUUUCGAAUAAUGACACGUGAUGCAACGAGAAUGAUUAAAAAUCUUAUUCGAAAUUACAAAUAAAAAAUUAUUUUGUAUUAUUUAAAAAAAAAUAUUUUAUUGCCUAUUGCCAGGGCUAUUCAAGUGCAACGGUGGAGAUGUAAAAAACAGUUACUGUUCAUUAAGGGCGGUUACUGUUCACAUGGUGGAUUGAAAAGUGAAUAGCCUGGGGGGAGGGCUCCCACGCUGGAGUUGCUCUUAUAGUGUUAUGUAUGGACAAUCAUACACUAUAAUUUCCAUUCCUACACGCAAGAGCACAAGCUGGCGGCAGGCUAGCUAACUGAGUACGUAACUCUGAGUAACGUUGUAUUAACCAUAUUUUUUCAGUAUUCGGAUUCUCGCCUGAUCCUCAUUGUGAUAUUCUUGAAAUCUGUUAAUUGCGUUUGUUUAUCGUAUAUAGUCCGAUCAAAAAUCAUUUUAAAUAUUUUAUUUAAAAUUAAGCACAAACAGUACCUGAUAAAAAUUGACCGCAUGAUGUACGAUGAAUGAUUACGAUUUACGGAUCCCCAGGAUCCUCACCAAAAGGAUCUAGCGAGGAUCCUGUUGGAUUUUUUCAUACUAUAUUUGCAUCGUAUUUAUAAUAGAGUAGGAGCCACCAACAUAUGUGGGUUCCAUCUCUAUUAGAAAGAUGUUACAAACAUGGUAAAAUAAGGAAAACUAAUGAAAAAAGCUUGAAAAUUUUAAGUUUUAACGAUAAAGACAAAAUAAAGGGUAAAGUAAAUAGUAUCAUAAUUGACUUUUUAGUGUAAAAAUAUGGUUUUUUUUUUAUUAAAGUAAACAAUACCGGGAGCUUUUCGUUAAAGUUUCUUAAAAAAUAUGAUAAGAGUAACAUUUUUGCAUUCAAAGUGUUGAUUUAAGAAAUUGAUGAAUUUUUCAGCUAUGAAAAGAAAUUUAAUAUGCAAAUUUUUUUGACAGUAGGCUUUUUCAUAGUACCAAUGACAUUGAAUGAAUCGUUAACCGGAAAAUUAAGAAAAUAAAAUAUAAUAUACGAGCGUAUGGUUUCAUUUUUAAUAAACACCGAUACAUUUUGUCAUAAAAUUCAAUACCUAGCAAUAAUUGAUUAAGUUAGGAAAAUAUCGGUAUAGUUAGGAGAGGUUCAUAUAUAUAUAUAUAUAUAUAUAUAUAGAGAGAGAGAGAGAGAGAGAGAGAGAGAGAGAGAGAGAGAGAGAGAGAGAGAGAGAGAGAGAGAGUUCUCAAAUUCCUUGCGAGAUUAUAUUCAAGAACUCUGGCUAAUACAAAUUCCUUGUGUCAUCCUCAGCUGAAUCAAAUGAAUACAUUGUCUCUUCUAAAGGAAGAAAUACAGUAAGAACCAAAUAAUAGUGUUACAGAACAAACUAAACAAUUAAUCUAUGACAUUACGCUGAAGACUAAGAAUACAUAUCCAUCAUCUUUUCGUUACAGUACCACAUAUCCGAAUCACUUCUAUCAAAUCUAUUUGAAUAGUUUAUCUUAUUAAAAAUUGCUAAAGAUGAGUUCAUAGGGUGUAUGGCUUCGUAGCAUAAUAUCUACUUUUUUCUUUGACAUAUAGGUCACACUUUCCCAUUCCACAUGAAACUGUUGUGUCAAUUCAAAUUUACCACAACAUUAAUGCUUGUUUCCAUAGCUGCAAAAGAAGUGUUUGAAAUGAAAAUAUGAGUUGAAGUGUAAAUUGUUUGUAGUAUUUAAAAUACAUACAUACAUUGCCAAAAAGUAAGAAAAAAAAAAGUCAUAUCCAAUUAGAUUGACCAGAAGCUCAAUCAAAGAUAAUAUCAAAUAUAAAACCCGUUACUUUGCAUUUCGUUGACAUUUGGAGUUGUUUAAAUUAGUUUUUGUUACCAAAAUCUAAACAAUAGAAAGAAGAACCUCUUCGAAGAAGAAUUUACAGUAACUACAACUAUAAUGCUUUUGUCUACAAUAAUAUUAACACAAUAAAUAAAAAAGAGUUCUCAAAUGUACAUAAUCUUUACUCUGUUUUUUCAAAUUCUAAAGCAUGAUAUGGUAUCUACCAAAUGGAAAUAAUAAAGGGAAGAAGAACCUUAAGAGUAUAUGAAUGGACAAUCUUUUCCUAUAUGGAGGAGGAAUUAAACUCAAUUAACCGAAAGGAAAAAAAAAACAAAAGCUAAAAGUGGAUGAUCCUGCAAUUGAAAAACCCAAAUGUGCAGUAAAAACAACCAAGAGAAAACAGAAGCUAAAAGAAAUCACAUUAAAAAAAAAUCAAUUGAAAUGAAGCAAUCACACUUGAUCGACCAUAAAGUGACGUACAAAUGCCAAUUGCCAAUUGCCAAAAAAAAUAAGAAACCAUUUUGAAAUUAAGCAGACAUUGUUGUAAUAAGAAAAAACCUCAAAUGUGCAGUAUAAUUGAAAUUAACUCCAUUUGGAGGGAAUUAAAGAAUGCUAGAACCACAAUAACUUCAUAUUACAUUAAACAUUUUGGCUAAUAUGUUAUAAGCACAACCAACUCAUCCAUAUUAAGAAGCCAACAAAAAUAGAAACCAACUUGUGAACGAAAGGAAAGAUGUGAACAGAAAAUAAAUUCAACAAAACUGGAAAAAUGAAGAGAAGAAAUUCCACUUAAGAAAGGUGGUCAGGGAAAAAAACAAAAAUGAAUCAAAAGUAGAAGAAAUUCCACGACCGACCUGCGUAUUUAUCCUAUACAACAGUCGUUGUCAAACUCUUCAGUCGAAGCUCUACACAUUGCUUAUAUCUGUGAGCAAGAUUUUAAAAAACGUUAGGUACUAGUCGGGCGGCGGGCUAGCGCCUAGCGCCUAAGCAGUUAGACGGGGUCUAGGAGAGCACAUAGGUGGAUUUAGGUAAAUUUCAUGUAUAUCUUGUAGACAAGUGCAUAUUAACACUUACAAAAAAUUAUACUUGUAUAUUAUACUUGUAUGAAAUCAAUGGAUAAGAUGAUAAAAGAAUAAUAAAAUGCAAAAAGAGUAUCCAACAAGUUCAAAAUUUAAAAACACAUUAAGCAUAUAUGCCACAUAAUCAUUGUGAGGAGUAUUGUAGAAUGACACAUGUACAAUAAGUUCAUAAUUUAAAACCACAUAAAAUGCAAAAUAGGAGGAAAAUAAGGAAAUAUAGUAAUGUAGAUAGAUAAGAUUUUUUUUUAUUUUUUAAUUUCAAAAAAAAAAAAAACUGCCUAGCCACCUAGCAUCACCUAGCCCGCCUAAAGCCCAACCGAUUUUUCCAACCGAUUUGCAAGAAAACGCCUCGGGUCACCACCGGCUAGCGCCGUUUUUAGAACAUUGUCUGUGAGAUGAAUACGACAAACAUUUGAGGUUGAAUUAGUGAAUUUCAAAUACACUGGAAAAGAGAAUGCAAACCACAUCUUGAUGAACAAAAUUAGAGAAAAUGGCGAAUAAAAAACAGAAAGGGAAAUCGAUUAGGUACUCAUAAUUAAAGAAAGAUUAGAAAUUUCAUUAAAAUAAAAAGAAGAAUUGAAAGCAAAAUCAAAUGUAGAAGAAAAUUCCAUUAAUUGAUACAACAUUCACGAUUUGUCCAGAUUCUUACAGCCUUACAUGAAGCUUUGCACUGUGCAAUUUUUUUACCUGAAGCAGCAAAAGGCCCACUCCUCACAUCAUGAUCUGCCACAAUUUAAAGAAGUCGAAGUAGUAGAAAGUCUUUGGCAUAACAAAACUGAAAGCAUAAAGCAUAAACCCAAUAAGAGUCAUAAACUAAUGAAGAAAGAAUUUGAAAAUUUUCAUACUACUAACCCUGUUAAAGGAAAGUAUAUUUGGUUAAACAUGAUUGUAGGGAUUGUAAAUAGUCAAUGAUCUGGUUAGAGCUAUCAUAGGACCAGAUUGCAAUCAACUUGUAAUUAGAGAUUGGUUACCUAGAAUAGGCUGCAUCUGACUGUAUAAAGCUUGUAUCCUUGUAUGAAUGAAUAUACUGAAAAAUAAACCAUUCAGCAAACACUUCAAUUUUCACAUGGCAUCAAAGCACCGAUCCUGGUGACUCUAGGCGUCCAUUCCACUUCCGCUACAAACACAGCCCAAAAUUUUCCCAACACACACAACCAACAUGGCUGAUGAAAAACCAGCAGAGAUAGUGCCACAUGCAUCCGACCCUCUCAUCCUACACCACUCAGAUUCACCAAGUCUCGUCUUGGUUUCACAACUCCUCGACGGACACAACUACGGACAAUGGAGCCGCUCUAUGCGCAUCGCUCUCAGUGCCAAGAACAAACUUGGGUUCAUUGAUGGAUCAAUCAAGUGCCUUGCAAUUACCGACGCCAAAUUUUCAAUUUGGCAGAGAUGCAACGACAUGGUCUUGUCAUGGAUUUGGUAGUCUGUGCAAGGCAACAUCGGACGCAGCAUACUCUACUGCAAAUCUGCAUCUGCAACGUGGAAGGAUCUUGAGGAUUGAUUAUCGCAAGGAAACGAUUCCAGGAUCUACCAAAUUCGACAGGAAAUCGUCGAACACCGACAAGGACAACCAUCCGUUUGAGACUAUUACACCCAGUUAAGGGCUUUUUGGGAUGAAUUGGCUUCGUAUUAUGAACCAAUUGCUUGCGAUUGUGAGGGAUCCAAGACUCGUGUAGCAAGGGAGGAAACAGAGAAAGUCAUGCAAUUUUUAAUGGGCUUGAACGAGACUUACUCAACCAUACGAGGCUCCAUCUUAAUGAUGAAUCUGCUCCCUAAUACGAGACGUGUCUAUAGGUUGGUUCUGCAACACGAGCGCCAAAUGGAUGUGGCAAAUCAUCAUGAACCUGCUGCCCACGUGAUGCAUACACAUCGGUCCACCACGCCAAAGGGAGGAUCUGCACCUGGUAGUUCCAGUUCACGCAAAGCAUCCAAAUGCAGCUACUGUGAUGGCUCACAUUCCGAGGAGCACUGCUACUUUCUUAUUGGGUUCCCCGAAGGACAUAAGUGGCAUGGGAAACAUGUACUGCCCAGAAACAAACGCCAAAAUCCGACAGCCCACAAUGUCGAAACACCUCAAUCACAAACCACCCAUACAGACGCAACCAAGGCCACAUCUUCCAAUGGCCCAACGUUCACAACCGAAGAGUACCAUCAACUUCUUACCUUGCUUCGCUCUGGAAACGGUAAAAUUACACCACUUGCGAAUGCAACAGGUAUUGUCACACCCAUAUGUAAUAUGACGGAACAUGACUUGCAUUCAACCCUUUACUGGAUUAUAGACAGCGGGGCAUCUGAUCACAUAUCACAUUCACCAUUAACACAUAAUCAGAUUGAUGUUGAAAAUGAUUUUGUGGGAUUACCAAAUGGGGGAACAGCAGACAUUAAGAGCAUUGGAUCCGUAAAACUAUCACAUGAGUUAUUACUUGAUGGAGUUCUACAUGUUCCAAUAUUCCGUGUCAAUUUAUUGUCUGUGAGUAAACUCACACGGGCUCUACAAUGUAUCGUAAUAUUCUUUCCGGAUUUUUAUGUUAUACAGGACAUGGAUACGAAGAGGACGAUUAGCUUAGGCAAGCAAUUUAAUGGGCUCUAUUACCUUACGCCAAGUCAAAAUCCCCAUCUUACCAACCAUGUUAGCCGCACCACCAGUCUCUGGCAUCAACGCUUGGGCUACCCCUCUACACACCCUUUACAUUUUUUGUCAAAAACAUUCCAGAAAUAAUGUUCGAUUCCAAACAUGUUUGUGAAGUUUGCCAUUUGGCAAAACAAACUCGAUUGUCUUUUACUUCUAGUUCAAUUCAAUCCACUGCACCUUUCGACUUAAUUCAUUGUGACAUUUGGGGGCCUCACAAAGUUCCCACACAUUCCGGGACACGUUAUUUUCUCACCAUCGUGGAUGAUUUACUCAUUUUACAUGGGUGCAUCUUAUGCGUUUUAAAUCCGAUACACAAACACUAUUGACAUCAUUCUUCUCUUGGGUCAAAACUCAAUUUCACAAAAACAUCAAAAUUCUACGAGCUGACAAUGGUGGAGAGUUCCUCUCCAUGCGCACUGUUUUAGACACCCAUGGCACCAUUUUUCAGCAUUCAUGCGUUCACACCCCUCAACAAAACGGGGUUGUUGAACGUAAACAUCGACAUCUUUUGAAUAUUGGGGGUGCACUUCGUUUCCAAGCCAAUUUACCAUUAAAAUUUUGGGGAGAUAGUGUUCAAACCGCAUGCUAUCUCAUCAACCACAUUCCCACACCAUUAUUAUCCCAUAAAUCUCCCUACGAAUUUUUACAUGGUCACUUGCCCAAUUACUCUCACCUUCGCGUGUUCAGAUGUCUUUGUUAUGCCACCAACCUUCACCCAAAACACAAGUUUGACACUCGUGCUCGCCGUUGUCUUUUCCUUGGAUAUCCUCUUGGUCAGAAAGGUUAUCGUGUUUAUGACCUCGACACGCAUACCAUCUCCACUUCCCGUGAUGUCCACUUCCAUGAAACAAUUUUUCACUUUGCCCAUUCACCACCUGAACAUGAGGAUGACUCCCUCGUUCUUCCACUUAUUUUUCCAGACUCAUUACCCACUCUGCCCAGUACACCAUCUCCCGACCCACACCAUCCUAGCCCAAACCCAGAUGCCUUGAACCACAACACUACCCAACCUCCCACUUUCCCAUCCCCAAUUCCCGACAACACUCCCCAAUUCCAGACAACUUUCCCAUCCCCACCAGAGACCGCUCCGAUCUCACCCACUACUGCCACCCAUUCUCUCGCCUUACCUGACCCCCCACCUGCACCGUCUCCACAACCUCCCAUUCGACACUCUUCUCGCCUGACCCGACCCCAUGCCUAUCUCAAAGAUUAUGUGGCCCAUCAUGCUGCUUUGUUUGCGCCUGGCGUCGCCUCUUCCUCCGUGUCCAGCACCCGUCAUCCAUUCCACCGGUAUGUCUUUUAUGCCUCCUUAUCUCCUACUCAUCAAACUUUCAUCCAUAAUGUUUCUUCUCAGAUGGAACCCACAUCCUAUGACCAAGCCCGCCAUGACCCUAACUGGGUCGCUGCUAUGAACACUGAACUCCGAGCUCUCGAAGACAAUCAGAUAUGGAGCAUGGUCUCUUUGCCUGCUGGUCAUCAUGCCAUUGGAUGCAAGUGGGUUUUCAAAAUCAAAUACAAUUCGGAUGGUACAAUUGAGCGGUACAAAGCCCGACUCGUUACCAAUGGUUUUACUCAACGCGAGGGGAUCGAUUACAAGGAAACUUUUGCCCCUGUUGCUAAGCUGAUCACUGUGCGAUGCUUAUUGACUGUUGCUGCUGUUCGUCAUUGGUCCUUACAUCAGAUGGAUGUGCAGAACGCAUUCCUUCGCGAUGAACUUCACAAAGAAGUGUAUAUGUUGCCUCCUCCUGGUUACCGUUGAUAGGGGGAGCGUGUUGUAUGUCAACUCCAAAAGUCUUUGUACGGACUUAAGCAAGCGUCCCGCAGUUGGUUUCAGAAAUUUUCCUCUGCCAUCCAUGACAUUGGAUUCACACAAUCUCGGGCUGAUUAUUCCUUGUUUACCAAGGUCUCUGGCAGCUCCAUUACCAUUGUUUUAUUAUAUGUUGAUGACAUGGUUAUUACAGGAAAUAAUGAUAGAGCAAUCAAUGAUCUCAAGCAAUUCCUUAGCCGCUGCUUUCGAAUUAAAGACCUUGGACCCCUAAAGUACUUUCUUGGAGUUGAAGUCGCACGGUCCAAAGCUAGCAUUACCAUCAAUCAGCGCAAGUACACACUUGACAUACUGGAAAAGGCGGGUUUACUUGGUGCGAAGCCAUCACAGGUCCCAAUGGAACCUGACUUAGUGCUACAACCCACUGGUAGUGAUCCUCUCAAAGAUCCUACGCAAUACCGACGAAUGUUUGGGAAAUUAAUAUACUUGACAAUCACAAGACCGGAGAUCAUAUAUGCGGUCAACACCCUGAGUCAAUUUAUGCAGGAACCUAGGCGACAUCAUCUUGACGCAGCACAUAGACUUCUUCGAUACCUUAAAAAUGCUCCUGGACAAGGUUUGUUGUUUUCUUCUCAAAGUAAGCUAAACUUGAUUGGCUAUUGUGAUGCGGAUUAGGCACGUUGUCCGAUUACUCGCCGUUCAGUUACAGAUUAUUGCAUUUUUCUGGGCAACUCACUCAUAUCUUGGAAGAGCAAGAAACAGGUCACGGUAGCACGAUCAUCUGCCGAAGCAGAGUACCGUUCCAUGGCUGCAGCAACUUGUGAACUCACGUGGUUGAGAUACUUAUUGAAGGAUUUGCAAAUACCCCAUCCUGGUUCGGCGAAGCUGUUUUGUGAUAAUCAAGCUGCGUUACACGUAGCAGUGAAUCAUGUGAUCCACGAGCACACCAAACACAUUGAGCUUGAUUGCCACACCAUUCGUGAGAGGAUUCAAAGAGGAGAAAUCAAGACAGCCUAUGUACACACUGGGGAACAAGUGGCUGACAUGUUUACUAAGCCACUAUGAACACCUGCUUUCCAUUUACAUCUCCGCAAGUUAGGCGUUCUUGACAUCCACACUCCAACUUGAGGGAGAGUGUUAAAGGAAAGUAUAUUUGGUUAAACAUGAUUGUAGGGAUUGUAAAUAGUCAAUGAUCUGGUUAGAGCUAUCAUAGGACCAGAUUGCAAUCAACUUGUAAUUAGAGAUUGGUUACCUAGAAUAGGCUGCAUCUGACUGUAUAAAGCUUGUAUCCUUGUAUGAAUGAAUAUACUGAAAAAUAAACCAUUCAGCGAACACUUCAAUUUUCACACUACAAUAUUGUCUCGCCCAGACAACACACAUCACAUCUAUCUCCACCGCCUGCACCGGUACCAAUGAUUUGAAACCUAAUGGAAAAAGCACGACAAAUAAUUGGAAAAUGGAUUAAUAUAAACAAAAACUCCCCAGAACCAACAGUUUCCUUGUAAGCAUAAGAACCUCACCAACGGGCUUCAUUGGAAUGUAACGAAUGCAGAGGGAAACAUAAAAACACUUACAUGGAGAAGAAACAAAUCCAAGUUUUUCACUCAAAAGAAAAUAACCAACAAUCAUACAUGAAAAUAGAAGGAAAAAUGAAUUUGGUUAAGGGUGGACAACAUCUGGAAAAGAAUGCAAAGAUCAUGGAGAAUCCGAGAUUGAAAAUUACCUGCGAUAAGAAUCAGUCAAUGUAGAGGAAGAGUCUUUGUCAAUAUAUCUAUCUGUCUGUUUCUCCCUCCCCCUCGUUGUCUUCUCCUUGAUUUCUGCACGACUACAAAUAAACUGCCAACAUUAAUAUGAAACUAAACUUACCCAAUGAAAUUUGAACACAAUGGAUUACUUCUCCAGUAAAGUUCAUUUCCAAUUCCUACUGCUUUGAGAGGAUUUUUCUAAAAAUUUGGAAUCUCUAAUAACUGAAGAAUCGCACUAUGCAAAACCCAAGUCGUUUAUUAGGACGAAGAAUCGCAAAAGCCCCGGAAUUUGAAAUCUCAUACUUCAUUUGUGGUUUUUUCUAAUUGAAAACCCAACAAUAAUAAUCCAAUCGAAAUUGAUUGUAAAGACAAAAAGCGAAGGAAUUUAGGAAAAAACACCUGAAAUCUUGUCAAAAUCAAGUGUGGAUGUCGACAGAAAUUUGGAAUAACAUGAAGAGGGGUCUGUGCGGAAGACGAAAGUGGGUUCGUUUCUUCCGAUGUAUGACAUGUUGUUCACUGUAGAACGUGUAGUAGAUGGCGGUUCCAUUCCAUCUCCUCUGGUGUUUACAACCGCUGCGGUUAGAUAUGGUGUUCGAGAGUUCUACCGAGUUUUUAUUUAUUUUUUAUUUUUUAUUUUACGUUUAUUUCUCUCGGAAAGAUAGGACACAAUGUAGUAUUUGUGGGAGGAUUAAUCCAAGGGUCAAAAUGAAUUUGAAGUGCAAGUAUUUUCAUCCGUCGGUUGUCAAUUGUUAUAGUUAAGAUGGGUGUUUUUUAAAUUUGCUUUUUUUAGUAAAACAAUUUUGUACUCUGUUAUGUUUUUUUCCAGUUUAUCCUCAUUUUUUGAAAUGUUUUGGGCUUGGUUGUGAAGAAAACAAAGGGGCUUUCUUGGCAUUUUGAAAUGCUUCACCUAUUUGGCCUUCUCCCUUUAUAUACACUAGCCUCUCCGCAUGUACUAACGUGCGUGCAAGAGGCAUUUUUACAUUACAGGCGCUACGCAUCCCUAAAGGUGUAUUGCGUUAGUUUUUCCCAUCGUAAUUGUCAAGAUAUAUUUUAAAUGUAUUAUGCAAAGAGAAACUCUUUUUUUUAUCAUGCAUAUUCUAAAAAGAGUAAUAUAUGUAACUCGUUUUUACUUUGCGUAAAGUAAUGAUUUAAAUGUUAUUCAUGCACUUGUCAAACAACAUGGGAUUUUAGACGCAAGUUCCUACCUAAAGUAGAAGUAAAUAAAAAAAAGAGUAGAUGAAAACAUUAAGUACUCGUAGCAAAAUACAAAACAACUUAAAUGUCAAAAUAUAAAUCCUGCAUAACAAUAUGUACAUUAUUCACAAUACCCAUAGAGUCUAUAUAUCACUGUUUCUUUUGAAAAGAAAGUUUACAUUUUGAUAUCAAUGCUACAAUUUCCACACAUUUGUUCAUGAUUGAUGCUUCAAAUUUUCAUUGCCAAUCUACAAAUGAUAGUGAGAAAAUUAAAAAUCAAAUAAAAAAAGUUAAUUGAUAAGUGAGAAAUGCAUAUUGAAAGGUUAUCGUUAAUAAAGUUGUUACCUAUUAAAAAUCACCAUAAUUAGCUGGAAAGAAGCAAGACUUCUUUGUAUACUACAUUCUGUGUAAAUACACAUUGUUGGCCGAUUAUGGAGCCAUUUUUUACUAACAUGGUUGUGGUUGACUUUGAGACCCCCCUCGAUAAGGCCACAUAUCAUUGUUCAUGACUGAAGACGUGAUCUGGAAGGUAAACGCCUACAUGUGGUAUUGUCUGACCUUGAGAUUUGUUUAUAGUGAUAGAGAAACUUAGUUUCACUAGAAACUGCUUUCUUGUAAGUUCAAAUGGAAGCCCAGCAGUAUCAAUACUUUUGAGAGGGAUUCUUGAUAAGAAAACUCUGGAUCCGGCAAAUUGUCCAGUUAGAAUUUCAACAUCUAUAAGAUUUUGGUAAGAACCAUGACACAAUAAUCUUGUACCAUUACACAAUCCCAAUGAUUGUGUAAAAGCAUCAAAAGUUUUGUUAGUAACAUGAAUUGUAUGUGUUUUCUAAAACUCAGAUUUACGAAAAUUGAAAGAGAACGAAAAGUUAAAAUAUAAAUUAGUAAAAGAAAAACAUAUAUGAAACAAAACAGGUAAUCAUGGAGUUGAUGAUUCUAAAAAUGAAAGAAAUGAACCUGGAGAUGCAGAUGAAAACAUAUAAUCAUUCAGUUCAAAAUAUUACAAUUUUGAGUCAUCAAAGAAACAAAGUGAAAUAGCACAUUGCCAUUUCGGUUCUUUGAUUAAGUGUAAUAUUCGGCUUCUCAAGUAUCUUACAACUAAGCAAAAAAAAUGCGCUUCCUAGUUUCACAAACUAAAAUGCAUCUAAUAACUUAUCAUAAAGGAUGAAGUAGCAACCUGAUCAAAUAGAAUGAUCGGCAAAACUCGGGAUUGAAGAAUCUUUAAUUAUUUUGAAUACUUGGUGAAGUUCCUCCACAUGAACCCCAUGAAGAAAAACUACAGGCUGCAAGAUAAGAUUCAAACCAUAUUAUAUAAAAAAACCAGUAAAAAAUUCCCAACAUUUGACUCAAAAUUGAAAGGAAAAAAGAUGAAAUUCUAUGCAUUUAGCAGAUAAUUGAUAAAUCAAACUCUGCAACUGAAACGUUGACAAUGGCUUCAAAAUUAACUGAAUAUCUAAAACAACUUGUAAUCCUAAUUAUAUGGAAGAGGGUAGAGAAAAGCUAAGUGCUUCAACCCCAGGUUAUGAUGCUUUGCAGACAACUUACAUCAACCUUUGAAUUUCUUCCUCAAUUAGCUAGCUCUUGAAUGCACCAAUAACAUAUGCAAUUGGAACUUGGAUUACAUAGCUCUCAAUUCCAUUGACUUCAUCUAUUAAUUUUUAGAGGGUUACCUAUAGUUUUUUCAAUGACAAUGACAUGGUUUACGCAUGAACAUGGUUUUUUCUUAUUUGUUUAUCUAUUUCACACUUGAAUCAAUAAAAUUUUGCUAGUGCAAUCAUACGGCAUUCACAACGAUCAUACUAUUGAUUUGUAAUUUCUCUGAUAAUUACAUCCCCGAUCAAGCAGGCUAACUGUCAAGCGUAAUUAAAAAAGUAGCAACAGCCCUAAUAAAAAAAAUAAUUCAAACUCAUCAAACUAUCGAGUUACAUACCUUGCAUCGGAAUCUAGCGUAAAAUUUACCUUUCUAGCAAUAACGAAAUAACUCAGUUAUCAAAUGCAGGACACACUAAAAUGCAUCUAAUAACUUAUCAUAAAGGGUGAAGUAGCAACCUGAUCAAACAGAAUGAUCGGUAAAACUCGGGAUUGAAGAAUCUUUGAUUACUUUGAAUACUUGGUGAAGUUCCUCCUCCUGAACCCCAUGAAGAAAAACAACAGGCUGCAAGAUAAGAUUCAAAACAUAUUAAAUAAAAAACCAGUAAAAAAUUCCCAACCCAACACUGUUAUUAUGGUAAUUUCAACGCAAGCCGCCUUCUCUAGCAGAGUUCAUUUCCAAAUCCCUACGACUUCGAGAGGAUUUAAAAAUUUUGGAAUCUAUAUAAUGAAUAAGCUUGAAGAAAAGCUUCAAAUUUAUAAAAAAAAAACUUUGAAUUCGAACAAAAAAUGCAAAAACUAAGUCGUUUAUUAAGAAGAAGAAUCGCAACUCACAUGGCUGUGGGGAUUUCCAGACAGGUUCCAAUAGAUUGAGUGGAUAUUCGAAACCUUAAGAAACAGGAAACUGUACAGCUCAAUAGUCGGGUAAAGGCUAUGGUUCACCCUGAAAAAUCUUUCUUCGAUUCUAUCGAAUCGCUAGAUAGUUUGGGCUCGCUCUCAAAGGCCACACUUUGCCCGCGCAAAACUAAAUUCCAAAAUUCCUCUUCCCUGCAUUCAGAAACACAUCAUCAAUUAAUUAGAAUUGAAUAUGAACGCAAAUCUAAUUCUGCUUCAUCAAAGCAAAUAAUUCAUACACAAUUGAAAAAUGUGUAUAAAUGGGAAGAGAACGGAAAUUGAAAAUAUGAUCAGAAAUGAAUGAUCGAUGAGAAACAGUUAAUUAAUGGCAAUGAAUUUGAUUUGAAAAGAGACUAAUAAACAUACUGGUAAAGAAGCCGCACUUGUCGUUUAUGGCGAGUGAAAGGUUGUUUCAAGAAGCUGCAGUUGUUGAUCACGGCGAGUAGAGUCAAGUUUGAAAGUUUGAACAAACGUUGGAAGGAAUACAUAGAAAAUUGAGAAUCACGUUUGAAAGUUACCUGCGAUAAGAAUCAAUCGAUGUAGAGGAAGAGUCUUUGUCAAUAUGCAUCUUUAUUUCUCCCUCCCCUUGUUCUCUGUAGAGGAAGAGUCUUUGUCAAUCUGGUUUGUAGUUUGCAGAACGUGGAGGGUGGUUGAAUCCCACGUUGCGGUUCUAAUUCUUCAUUCGGCAAAACUCUACAGUUAUGAUGCUUUAUCUUUUUUCAGUGAUGGUUUUUUACCAGCUUGUCGUAUUAGUUUAACCAUCAGAAUUCAAUUCACACAUUACCCAUAUUUUCAAUGUACAAUCUGCUUACAAAUCAUUACCAAAUACAGUAAAACAGAAACUGGUAAUUGGGUAAUUUUAGUAACUCCUAUAAAUUCUGACCAAUUGCAGAAGUAAUUUUAUAGAAACCAAAUUCCCAGCUAUAGCCUCAAAUGUCUCUCAUUGCAUGCAGCUGACUACCACUGACUCAAAUCACAUAAAUAAAAGAAAUGGAAUCCAGAAAAACCCAUAUGACAACAAUUAAGUUUAAAUAAUAUAAGCAGUGUGGUCGAUUAAGCACUAAUCACUGAGCAAUUUUGAACGCCCAGCAGUCCCAUCCUACGCCAUCAAUGAUUCGAAUUUCCUUAUUAAAUUAUAUAGAAUAAUAAACAAAACAAACGGAAAAGCAAAUUCAUGUGGGUAAUAUUACUUAAUUGGAGGGUAGAAAUUAUGAAAAAAAAAAUCACCUGAAUUUGUGUAAAUUGAGUGUGGAUGCAGAAGAAACUCUGGAAAAACAUGCGGAUGAGAGGUUUGUGCAGAAGACGAAAGUGAGUUCUUCCUCUUUUCUGUGCAUUUGGGGUUAGAAUGAUCGUUGUCCCCUCUAGAACGUGUGGUAGAUUGGCGGUCCUAUCUUCGAUCUUUGCAACUGUUGCAACCGGUGUUCUGUUUUGUGCGACAACGUGUUUGACAGUUCUCCUCUAAUUUGGAGGGAGUGUUUGUCAGUUUUUAUCAAUUUACUUGUUAUUUUGGUUUUGGUGGAAAGAUAGAAUGUGAUGCAGUAUUUGUGGGAGGAUUGAUCUAAGGGUCACAAUGAAUUUCAAGUGUGUAUAUUUUUAUCUAAUGGUUGAAAAUUGUAAUUGUUUAGAUGAGUGCAUAUAUUAUUCGCACAGUAGAAUUUCAUUGUAUUAUAUUACAAUUUUGACUUUAUAUUUAUUGGACAGUUAUCCGUUACUCUUAAGUAUGGACUAAGGAUAUUUUUGGCAUUUUGAAUGUAUAGAUAGAUAGAUAAAGAUCAACGACUGGGUAAAAAUCAGGAAGUGCAUGUGCCCAUUGAAGCUUUUUCUUAUUUUCUUAGGUGAAAUGGAUUUUUUUUCCAGUUUUAUUAUCACAUAUAGGCCGUAUCUCGUAUUUUGUAGGUGAAAAAACUCAUUCUAUUUCAUUAUCCUACAUCACGUGUGAAAUGAGUUCAUUCCUACUUACAUGCGCACUCUUGCAUUUAGGCACUUUUAAGCUUAAAUUCAUUCAUAUUUUCCACCUCAUCACACUUUAUAGGUUCGUCACCUUUCAGAUGCUGGCCAGCACAGCUCGAUUUGGAGUCCAGAUAGACAUUCCGGGUCAGGGUGUGUCAAUUUGAAUAUUAAAAAAUAAGGAAUGUAUUUGAAUAUUUUGAUUCAAUCUGAAACUUGCCUAAAUCUAUUACAUACACUUAAUUAUAUACUUGGUUUUAUUUUAGGAAAAUUUUAUUUGAACUCAUACAACUUCUAACUACAUCCAACUUACUCUGUACGCCCAUAUUAGUUUUAAUUCAAGAAUCAAUAUAUUUUAAAUCCAAAUUUACUAACUACAAUACCCUCACGAACUCAAUUUAAUAUGUAAAUUUGACUUUACACCUAUUUGAAAAAUAAAACCCAAAAUUAAACAUUUGUUGUGUAGGUCAUUAAAGUUAGAAUAUUAAAUUGUAAUUCCUCGAGACAAACCAAAUAUUGAGCCUUAUACAUUUGGAAAGAUCUAGAUGUCUAGUUUAUGGAGAAUUUUAUGGUUUGUGAUUCCGAUUUUUGUAGGAGAUGUUAUUACUAUUUUAGUGCAGACAUCACAAAAUCAAAGAUUUGCUAUGCAGAUCAGGAUAGAGCAUAUUAAUUAUGAGAGUAGAAGCUAUUAUAUAUACACAACAUAAUCCUUGCCUAAUCCUAUUAGGAUUCCCUUAUUAGAAUCCAUAUAGAAAACUAAUUCCUUCCAAAUAGCAGUUUAGUAUAAUAUGGAUUACAAAUCCAUUCCCAAUAAGUUCCCAUUUAAACUCUAAUCCUAUAACCAAGUUCACAAAUUCAUACUUAUGCUCAUUUUCUUACAAGUAAUUCCACAGACCGUGAUCCACCAUAAUCAAAUUUAAUCAAACACUAUGCUAAAUAUAUUAUACACCAAUAAAAAUGAAUUCUACUUCAGAUGAGGACCAAGAAUUUCUCCAAUGGCUAAAACGAAUUUAAUUUAGAAGUAAAAGAUGCAAUUUAAAGGAACAUACACUUAUUUUUCUUUAUGAGAGCUCUUAGGAUUUUAGUCAGGAUGAAUGUAAGAUAAAGAUUGGUGAUGGUGGGAUUUGAUUAUUGGAUAUAUGUUUAUUGAUUUUUUUUUUUUUUGUUAAUUUCAUCAUGUACAUGAUGGUAAUUAUGCAACAAGAUAAAAAAUACAAUUCACAUUUAAAAUUUAAGUUGAGUGUACAAAGAAGUUAAAAUAGGUUCAACUAAAAUUUUCCUUUAUUUUAUAUAUGUUUCAUUUGUUAGUUGUUAUAGAUAAGACUCAAUGAUUCUAACUUUUUUACAAUUGUAUCUCCCUUAAAUAUAUUACAUACAAAAGAGAGAACUAAAGACAUAUAUUAUGUUUGGACACAACCCACAACAAAAGCUGGCUUUCCAAAAGAUAUGUUUGAAAGUUACUUCCUCAACGAAAGAAAUAUACGAGGCCGAAUAUUUUUGAGAAAAGCAAUGAGUUCAUGGUUGUUGAAUCUACGGUCAAGAGACUCUUACAAUGGUGCUAUUACUUGUAAUAAAAGAAGGAAUGCUACAAUAUAUAUAUAUAUAUACUUUGAUCUAAUGAAAAUAUAAAAUAGUCCAUAAUGAUUUUUUUUUUGUUGGUUAAAAUCAUAUAUGUUGUUAAUCACCAAAUCAAUUGAUCUCCUAAGACCAUCUCAAAUGGUGGGCUAAAAUCUAAAAUUUCUCUUCCCCCCCCCCCUCCAAAAUUCACUCCAACUCAUGACCUAAAAUUAACCUAAAACCUAAAACCCAAAUGGAGGGCAAAUACUGGCCCAAUUUUAGGCCACAAAACAAAAUGGACCCCACCAACUGAGACUGAAACCAGGGCUGUGAAGUCCAUUGCCCACUCCCUACUCGCCUAUGCGUUGCACACGCUAGGCUUUCUCAAAAUUUUGUACCAACCCACGUGGGGUUGUUCCCCCACUGUCAAACCAUCAAGUAGCCGUUGGGCUACUUUUCUUCAUCCAACGGUUCCAUUUAAAUGGGCCAUUGGUUAAUCCAACGGUCCAAGUUCAAAUUUUUUUUUAGUUUUAUAUUUAUUGAAUCCAACGGCUUAGAUCGAAUAUAAUCAAAUCUAACGGUAAAAAAAAGAUCUAAGUUUAUGUGGUUUAUUAAAUGUCGUUUGUAUUAAGUUUAUGUGGUUUAUCAUGAUUUUCGUGAUUGAUUUAUUGAUUUUUCAAAAUGUAUCGGAAUUUAAAUAUUUUUAGGUUAAAAUGUUCAUAUAAUUAAUUUAGGAUAGUCUACAUAAUUUUUUUAAAAAGUUAAUUUAAAAAAAAAUAGCCUUAAUUCAUUCUUUGAUAAUCUCGGACUAAAAUUUUAGGCCAGAAGGGCUGGAGCAUGAAAGCUAUUUCUGGGCUAAAACCUAAAUUUUCUGGGCUAAAUAUUUUUAGGUUUUAGGUCACCAUUGAAGAUGGUCUAACUCUUGAUUCUAAUUACUACUCUGAAUAGUAAUUGCCUUAGAUCAAUUUCACCUGUUUAAGGAUUGCCAUGAAAGUUACUAUUCUUAAUAUAUUUUUUUAAAUAUUUAAAUGCAUACUUAAAUAAAAUAAAAUUCCAAAAAUUAUUUAAAAUGAGACAAGUUGGUUUUGUUUGGUAUUUUUGCAGACACAUUCUGCAUACACAUUUUUUUCGUAAAAAAAUGAGACAAAAUCAAAGAUCUAAUAUGAUUAAAAAUUUUACACAUGCCCUCCUAAAUUCGUUACAUUUUUUUAAUUUAAAAUUUGUUUCUUAUCUAAUAUAAUUUAAUUUUUCAAACAUCAUGUUUAUGCUGCUAGUUUUGAUUAAGUAAAGGUAUUUUUUAAAUUAAUGAAAAUUUUGAAAAAGGGGUUAUGUAUAGACCUUAACUUUUUUUUUUGUUGAACUAUAUAGAUGCCUUAUUUUAUUUUAUUUUAUAUUAAGUCUUAUUGUUUAUAGUUGAAUUGACUUCUUUUUUUUCAUAUGAAAAACAAUUCUUAUUUAAAAAAUUUCUCAUUUGUUUUGAUAAAAUUCUUACUUUAUACCUCAACUUACAGUCAACAGAAAGUAUCACAAGUGCAAUACAUGACAUAAAUCGAGAACAUUAUCAACUAUUAUUACAGUUUAGGAACGAAAAUUAAACUGACUAAUGCUACAAUUUAACUUAAAUAUUAUUACUCUAAACUUUUUAUUCGAUACAACGAGAUAUUUACACUAUGGCGGUGCGAGAAUAAAUUGGUUGCGAACUCUUUGUUUCCAAGAUUUGGACUUAAGACUUCUCAAUUAUAAGUGAAAAAGAAUGCUAUUAGACCAUAUUACUAAAUGUCUACUACUGCUCCAAACUUUACUAAUUAAAAUAUGCAAGUUCGAAACUCUAGUUUUGUAGUGGAUGCUUUAGCUCAUUUUAGCAACUCCCUUCCUUCUGAAAGUAUUUGGUUCAAUAGUGUUCAGAUUGGUGUAAGAAAUGCCUUAGAGCAGUUCCACUGGACACAAAAUUGCCCAGCACCCUGUCCCAAAAUCAGCCCAGCACCCUGUCAAUCUGCUCCAGCCCGCAAAACAGCUUGGCACCCAGCCCAAGCCAGGCAAUAGACUAGCCCAUUUCGAAUAGACCCAAAGGCCAGCCUAUUUGGCUAGCGCGUGCAUCACACUUGCGACUGGACGUGAGUAGGAGACAAGGGUGCAGCCGGCGGGGCCCGCUUGUCAGCCCACUUGUGUUCACUCGGAUUAGAGCUACGUGGCCCUUCUCAGUGCCGUUGGAUUUCCAACGGUAAAAAAAAUUUAAAUUUGACUUUUAAAAUGGACCGUCCGAUCAUAGAUCAACGGUCGACGUUUUUUUCACAAAAAAAAGGCCCAAUGGUCAGAAUUAUGACUGUUGGCCACGUGGCAACGCCUUGGCUCUUGGAUUUGCAUAUUUUUCAAAUCCAACGGUCUAGAUUAAUUAACUAUAUUAAAAUUUAUAAAAAAUUAUGAAAAAAAAUAUAGAAAAAUUAUGAAAAAAAAUACAUAAUUUUUUUUUAAAAUACAUAAUUUUUUUUAAAUAUAGAAAUUUUUUUUAAAAAGUUAUUUUUUUUCUUUUAUAAAUACCUAACCCUCAUCUUCCACCUUACACCACAUUUCAAUAUUUUCUACACUUUCUACACUAUCUACAUUUCAAUAUUUUCUACACUUUGAGAGAAAAAAAUGUCUUCGUGGAAGAACAUUAAAGAUGUUACAUUGUGUGAAUGUUGGGUUCACACUACUCAUGACCCAAUUACGGGUAAUGAGAUGGAUAAGUGAGAAAUGUGGAGUAAAAUUACGAAAAUGUUUUGCGAUGUAUAUGGAAAGGACGCCAGAACUAGUCAAGGUCUUCAAGGUCGUUGGAAAAAACUCAACACAUCCUUUACUUGUUGGAAAAACGUCAUCUCGCAUGCUUCCGGUAAUCUGCGUAGUGGGACAAGUUUAGCGGAUCAGGUGAUAAUAUUUUUAUUUAUUUAUAUGCAUUCCACCCGCAUCAAUAUUUUAAUUUAUUUAAUUUCUUAUGUAAUUUAUAUGCAUUCCACCCAUAUUUUUUAAUACUAUCUCAUCCCACAUUUUUACAAACACUACAAGCACAAGCAUUCUACAAUACAAAGAACCAAAACAAAUCAUUCAACAAAUGGGAAUGUUGGUAAAUUGUCAAAGAUUGCCCUAGAUACAAAAUUGUGGCAACCGGUCCAGAAAUUGUCAUACAUGGCAUGGGUCUACAUAGUUCGCCAGAACCAGACACAGCCGAACAAGAAGCCAACACAUUUGAAGACACGGAAGGGAAGCCUGAACAAGUGCCGAAGACCCAACCGACUUGUCAGUCCCUCAGGCUUCAAGGUAAAAAGGCAUCAAAGAAAAAAGGUAGUUCUUCCAAAAAUGACUACACUAAAUAUAUGGAAGAACUUGCUCUCCAAAGUGAACUGAAUAUAACACGGGAAAAGGCUAGAGAUGAGGAAAAAGCUGUUGCUAUGGCAGCAAUAAUAGCAGCUACUGAGGCCCGUGAUGCAGCGGUUGAGAGACAAAGAGAAAUAGUUAAUCGAGAGAAUGAGAUGAUUAGAGAAGCACUUCAUCGAGAAAAUGAGAUGCUUAGAGAAGAAAAGAUGGCUCAAGCAGAUCGUGACAUUAUGAACAAGCCUCUAGUAGGACUGUCUCCGAAUUCAAAAUAUUUUUGGACAUCGGAAAAAAAAGAGGUCGUGCGAAGGAGGUGUGCAAGAGAUGCCGAAACAAGUCGAGGGGGUUCUAGCUACAGAAAUCCUAGCAAAGAAGAUCCUAGCACCACAUAUCCUAGCUCCACAGACUUCGUAUAAUUUCGUAUUUCUUUGUAGUACUUUUUUUUUAAUUUUUAUGUAAUUUUUAAUGUAAUUUCUUAUUUAUUUUUAGAACUUUAUGCAAUUUCAAAUUUAUUUUUUGUACUUUAUUUAAACACAUCAAAUAAGAUUACAUAAACUCACCAAAUAAGAUAACAUUAAACUCACCAAAUAAACUUUAAAAAAAACACCAAAUUAACUUUAAAAAAAACACCAAAUAAAAUUACAUAACCUCACCAUAUAAACUAAAAAAAAAACACACUAAAUAAGAUUACUUAAAAAUCUUAUCCGAAAUUAAAACUAUUUUAUUUAUUUAUUCUUUUAUAAAUUAAAAAAAUAUAUAAAUGGGUUGGGUGCCAGCGCAUUUUUUUAGAGGUGAAGAUGCUUUGGCCUAUUACUGUUCACUGAGGUCUAUUACUGUUUACUUGAGUGGAUAAAUGCGCUGAGUGCUGACGUAAAGUCUUAGGGGUGGAAUUGCUCUUAUACUUUGAUAAUUUUUGUACUGGUUGCCCUAGGUGCUAUGUAAUUAAUCCUUUGCCUUCUCAAAAUAUAAAGUUCGAACGUAAAACAUAAUGAUUUGAAGACGGAUGCCUUUUUCAUCAUGACAAUUCACUUGUUGCCGAGUGUUUAUUUAGGAAAGUGAUUUUCACACCUCACCAACAGAUCAAAUAAAUCAAAUAAAUUUAAGAGUUGUGUAAGUGAUUAAAAAUAAGAGUAAAUUGUAGCAAUAGUCCCUCAACUUUAAUUAAAUAGGAGUAAUGAUCCCUCAACUAAAAAUUUAUUACCAUUGGUCCCUCAACUUAUCAAAAUGUGUAACUAUAGUCAUUUUCAUCAAUUUCGUCAAAAUAAGUUAUGUUGGAAUAACCACUUAUACAAUUAGGGUCUCUCAACUCAUUAAUGUGUGUAAUUAUGGUCAUUUUCAUCAACUACGUCAAAAUUUUUGUCAAAAUGAGUUAUGUUGGAAUGAUCAUUUCUACAAUUGGGUUAAAGUUAAGGGACCAUUUCUCUAGUUGAAUUAAAGUUGAGGGACCAAUGGUAAUGAAUUUUUAGUUGAGGUACCAUAACUGCACGUUUUGAUGAGUUGAGGGACCAAUGAUAAUGAAUUUUUAGUUGAGUGACUAUUGCUCCAAUUGAGUUAAAGUAAAGGACCAUAACUACAAUUUACUCUAAAAAUAAUGCUUGAAAAUCAUAUCCUUUUAUUUAUUUAAUUAUUUUUGGAGUAAUACUACACAUACCACCUAGUUGUACCAUUAUUUGUACUAUCUUUCUAAUAGAAAUAGGAACAACGCAUGUGGUCCAAUUUUCUAUUUAGAGAGAUAAUACAAAUGAUGGUACAACUAGGUGAUAAGAAUAACAUGUUUGUUAUUUUUGUGUUGGGUGAAGUGUCAAUUUAGUUCUUGAAGUAUUAUCUUAGUGAAAAUUAGGCCCCUGAAUUAUUUUUUGGGGUAAAGUAAGUUCCUAAAUUUAUUAAAAAUUGCUAAUUUCAUCCAUACUAUUAAAUUCAAAGCUAUUUUAUCCAAUUUGUCAAUUUAAAUCACUUGACACACCUUAAAAUGUAUAAUCGUCUUUAUUACACCUAUUAGCCUUUAACAUUUUAUAUAAGUUGCGAAUCUAACCUCUAAUUUAUCUAUACAUUAUUUCAUAAAAAAUUACCAAUUUACCCUUCAAUAUGUAUCAAAAGCAAGUAACGUGACUUAAAUUGACGGAAAAUUAAAAAUAGUAGCAUCAAAUAUAAUAUUAGAGAUAUAGUUGAUAGAUUUUUAUAAUUUAAAAACUGAUUUUUCUAAAAAAAAAUAAUAAUUUAAAGACUUAAUAUUCACUUAGGUAAUAAUUUAGGAACUAGAUUGACAUUUCACCGUACUACAGCACCAAACACGAGCAAGUCUCUUAUUACGACAACCAAUACGUGCGUCUUUCUCCCACGCAGGCCCAGUCCAUCCUUUGAAUCAACUGCGUCUCUCUGUUUUCACUCUUCGAUCUGUGCGUUUCUUCUGAUUCCAGUACUCCGCCGGCCCACCGCGAAAACCAUGGACGCUCUCCCGCAGGACACGCUCCACCAGAUCUUCUCGAGCCUUCCCCUCCGGCAGAUCAUGAUCUGCCGCUCACUCUCCAAGUUCUUCAACCAACUCCUCACCUCACCCUCCUUUGUCCACAUCAUCUCCACCCAAUCUCCGCCCCUCAACCUCCUCGCCCUCCGCCCUCCCCACCACCACCACCAGCGCCACGUGUCCUCCUCAUCCUGCCUCCACGUCUUCGACCCCGACCUCAACCAAUGGAUCAGAUUCGCCCUCGAUUUCCUCCCCUUCCGCUCACCACACCCCGUCGCCUCCUCUCUCGGCCUCGUCUACCUCUGGGGCGACUCGCCCGACCCGCCCGAGUCAGCCAAGUCCCUCGUCGUCUGUAACCCUCUGACUCGUCAGUUCCGGGUCCUCCCUCAGCUCGGCUCGGCCUGGUCGCGCCACGGCUCGGUCCUCGUUGACUCCCAAACUCGAGUCAUGGUCCUCACCGAGCUCGCCGCGCUCUACUUCUCCGGUUCUAACCAGUGGCUCAAGUUCUCAUCGAACCUCCCGUCAAAACCCAGAAGCCCAAUUUUGGUGUUUGACUCGGUUUACGCCCUCUGCGAUGUGGGUUCGCCGUGGAGGAGUGAAUGGAAGUUGUUCCACUGCACAAUUUCGAAGCUCAAGACCUCGCAGACUUGGACUCGGCUCGAAAAGCACGAUUGGGGGGACGUCUUUGACAUCCUGAAAAGACCCCGUUUAGUUCGCGGAAAUGGGAACAAUGUGCUGAUGGUUGGUGGGUUGAAGUCGUCUUUCUCGCUGAACGCUUCGUGUUCGACGAUUCUGAUUCUGAGGCUGGACUUGGAUAGCUUGGAGUGGGACGAGGCGGGCCGAAUGCCGGUGGAGAUGUUCAAGUGCUUUCAAGAGUCGAGCAAGUUCAAGGUGUUUGGUGGCGGCGAUAGGGUCUGUUUUUCGGCAAAGAGAAUUGGGAGAUUGGCUUUGUGGGACCGUUGUUCCGAGAAAGCUGAGUGGCGGUGGAUUGAUGGGGUGCCCGGGAGCGGCGAUGGGCUUUCCCGGGGGUUUGUUUUUGAUGCCACGCUCACAGCAUUUCCUUGAUGGGGUUCAACACAGACAUCAGAGCUUUUGAUGCCAAGUAGAGGUUGGUAUUUAUCCAUUAAUGAAUCCCAAUGUUGUUGUAUUAGCGUUGAAUUCGUAGAAUUUCUUGUGUUAAAUGAAUUUCUUAAUACAAAUCAAUAGAAUAUGUUCCAACUAAUGCUUUGGAAUUGCUUUGUUCACUUUGUAUCCAGUCUCACCCAUUACUUGCAUUACUUGCAUUACUUGCAUACAGAGCAGCCGAAAAAGAAAAAAUACAACGAAAAGAGUACAUUUUGUUGUUGUUAAAGUGUUGUGCAAUGGAUUAUGAUUAAGGAUGAAGUUAUGCCUCUACAUAGAACAAUGAAAACAUUUCCAACUUAGUGUGCUUGUGUUAGUGUUUGCACUGAAACUACGAUUAGAACUUAACCAGCCUCGAGACAGAUAAUAGUGGAAAACUUUCUUAUAAGUUCUUGACGUCACUUUAUAAUGCGUUAUCCUAUUAAUACAUGAACGGUAGAAAUGUACUCUUAGAUGAAUGGUGUUGAUUAGUGCAGCUUAUUGAGCUUGUUAGAAGGUUCUUUACAUGGUUUGCUAGUCCGUUUUCUAUGUUAGCUACGUGCCUGGGGAGCUAAGUCAGUUGCAUAAAUAGUAGGAUAUAUCAAGAAACAUCGACCCGUUCUUCUUCCUUUCUCUCUCCGUUACUUCAUUUCAGCAUUUCUUAUCAAACAUCAUGAACCGGAAAUGGUUAAUGCUGUUUGAUCUCUAUUCUUCUGCGUGCUCAUAUGGGUUCAAGAUUGUGACUUUUUCUGCCGAGAUUUCCUUUUGGUGUUCGUGCAUCCCACCUGUUUGAUCCAACGUCUUAGUCAAGAUCUUUUCCUGAGGUUAUGUAUUUUCUGAAGAAUUUCUUGUUUCUUUUGUGCUCAUUGGGUGAAUUGGUGAAAUGGGUUAUUGUGCAAUUUUUGUUUGGAAGAAUCAUUGUUGAUUAGUUGGGCACGAAGCCUCUUUGAUUAAAACUGUAGAAAUGUUAUUGGCACGAAGCAUUGUUCUAAAAAUCCCCGCCUAGACCCCGUCUAGGCGCUAGGUGGCUGGCCAUCGUCCCGAUUAAUGCCUAGUCGUUUGAAAAUUAAGAAAGGGCACCUAGGCGGUCUAGAUUUACUGAGGCGCCUGCCUAGACCGCCUAGCCUGCCCAAACCUGGUUAGGCACCCGCCUAGGUUGCAACUCACUUAGGCAGAAAAUAAAUAAUUUUCAUUUUGCAUUUUUUAUUUUAAUAAAUUGUAAGACACUUGUUGAAUACUUGAAUGAGCACACAUUAUAUGCUUGUUCCUCAUGUUUUCAUUAUGUUCCAAUACUUCAUAAUAUAUGUCAUUCUAUUUUGUAAUUUAUGAUGAAAUUAUAUAUAUUUUAAGUAUAAGCAUGCACUUAUUUACAUGAAAUAUAAAGAAUUUAGUUAAAUCCGCCUAGUCCGCCUACCUAGACCCAGCCUAGCCGUCUAGGCACUAGACCCUAGCUCACCGUCCAACGAGCGCCUAACAUCUUUUAGAACAUUGGCACGAUGCCAGUUCGGAUUUAAUAUUUCUUAAAGCAUGAACCCAUCUCACUAAGUUGAAGUUUUAGGCUCGAUUCCAAUUUUAUUUGUUUGGGAUAUUUCAGGCUUGAAGCCAGUUCAUUGAAGUACCGUUUGGUACGCAGACGGGAUGGAACGGGAUGGAACUGAGGUUCCGUGUUAUGUUUGGUACACGCAGGACGGAACAUGACGGUUGUUCCGUUCUGCGUUUGGUACGUUCUGGACGGAACGGAACCAAAAGAUUGAAUGACUAACUUAACCCAUGUUCUGUUUGUUAUUUGAUACAAUGUUUAUGCGUAGGACGGGACGAGACAUUUUUUUUUUAACUUGUUCAUAUUUGAACACAUAUAACAAUACCAUGAUUAGCUUUUGGAGAUUGCAGAAGCAAAACAAAAAACAACGACAGAGAAUUUAGAGAGAGAAAGUGAAUGACUAAAGAUUGUAUUCCUUGAACAAUGAAUGAGAGGGAGGGGGAGAGAGAGAGAGAGAGAGAGAGAGAGAGGGAGGGAGGGAGAGAGGUGUUUGUUAUUUAUACAAGUAUUCUUUGCUUCACUCAUAAGCUAUUAACCAACUAACUUAUCCCUACAAUCCCAACAGAACUAACGUGCUGCAACAACAUACAUGGAGACCUAUAAAACGAAAAGCAAAGAGCAUUGGUAAGUAAUAAUAAAAUAGAAAAACUACACAAAUCACAAUCAGAAAAGUCUGCUUCUAUUUCCUUUUCAAACCAGUUCUCCAAAGCUCUUUCAUAUUGCUAAAGAACAAUGGUAAUGUGGUCUGUUGAUUCACAUAGCCUUCAAAAAAGGAGCCAUUGUACUCUUGAUUGGGAGAUAUAGCAGCAAAAAAGGAAUCCUGGAAAUACACAGGUACCCAUUGAGCGCGAGCAUUGUAUAAAUGUAUAGUCUAUGAGUUCAAGUUGAAGCAUGUAAGCUCACUAAACAUGCAACUUCCACAAGAUUUCUCAAUUCAUUCAGGCAAUAUUUCAAACACAAAUUGCCCACAUGGAGCUGAAAAGAUUUAUCAAAUAUGGUUAAGCCUCUAGCUGGAAAUAAAAAUGCGUGCAAGCCAGAUUGUAUUAGAAAUUGAAGUUGGUACUUGACCAAUUCAGAACAUCUGCCUCGUACAGAAAACCCAAUUUCCCAACUUGGCUUAUUCAAAUAAGGUUAAAAACCUUAAUUCUUCAAAUAAGGUUAAAAACCUUAAAUUAUUCAAAUAGAUGAAUGGACAAGAGAAAUUAAAAUGCAAGGUAGGUUAUGAGGUGUCCAUUAUUUGGAAACUGCUGCAAGCCUUAGCAAGAUCAAGUGCGGAAAGACUAAUGGUCUAUGAAGAAAUCUACUAACCAAAACACCACAACUUGAGAAAGUCGUUAACUCGAGCCCAGAAUGGAUUCACUAUAUAGGAGAAACAACCAUUAUAGAUCAGAUUUAUGCAAACUAGGAGGCUAAGGUCACAUCACACCAGAUUCAAGAUGGUAAUAAAAUGAAACCUUGCACAUGAUCGAAACUGCUUAAUUUUAACAUUUUAAUACCUUUUCAAGAACUUAGAGCAUUCAAAUUCUUCCAUUUGACAAUCUUUUGGCUGCCAUGAAACCUUCUCAUAGGAAAAAUUUGUGCGCUGUGUCAUCCGACAAGACCACAUACUUGACAGCCAUUGCUUACAGUCAUGCCCAGAAUACAGCGGCUUCUUAUGGUCCUGUUUGGGCCCAAAUUUACACCAUCGGUCCAAGUAAUUAAGGCCGUCAGAAGAUUAGAGAUUUUUCUUGACAAUACUAUUGUUUUUUUUUUAUCAUAGUAAUUAUCAUGAAAAUAUCCUCAAAGUGUGCAGAGUUGUGAUCGCAUAAAGCUUAAUGUAGAAGAGGCUGUGUGAAAUGCCGUGCAUCAUUAGAGUCAUAUCUUGCAUGCGAACCACGAGGAACAAUAACACAAUGAUGCAAUUAAUAUUGGAUGAUCAACAUGUGGUUAUGCCGUUUGUGUUUGAGAUAAACUUGAACUUUGGGCUCAAAAGGGAGUUAGCCCAGACGAAGGAAUGGAAAGCAAGAAGCCCAAGGCUCAACCGAAGCCCAGAAGGUGGAAGAGGCCUUUUUCCCGACUAAGUACAGAUCACUCAAGCCACCUGCUCACCUACCUAAAGGUCAAGUGAUGUAGACCAGCCAGCUAAUCAGCCCAAAAGUACUUUAUAAUGGCAGGACAAGUAAAAAGUUGAUGAGUCACUACCCUUCAGAGGCAUCCGGGCAAGAUUGAAGCUAUAGAUAGCCAAGCCAAAUCGUCUAUAAAAGGAGAAAAGAGAAUUAGAGACAAGGACACUCAAUCAAACAAACAAAUACACAAACUCUGCUCAAGCCAGAUUUGCAUACGAAGCUAUAGUCAGCACCAAGCCUUCCUUCCUUUCGGGAUCAACCUUCACCAAAAAGCCUUUAUAAAAGCUCUGCUACCCUAUCUAAAUCUUGUUGGAGUAUUGAUUCCCUCAUGUAAACUCAUCUUCCAAUCUCCCCUUCUAGCACUCAAACCCUUUGUAAAUCACAAAGAGAGGAAGUUGCAAGAUGAUCAGCCUUGCCCGACAAGGUGAAACCUUGCCCGACCUCCUUUGUUUUUGUCUUUUCAUUCAUAAAGCUAGUAAUAUGAUGUAUAUUUCCAUCUGCAUCCAAGUUAUUUCUAGCCAGUUUAUGAUUAAAAGACUUCUAAGUUCUAACCAUUUGGGCAGACAAGAUUGAUCAAUUAAAAGUCAUUGGUCUUAAGACAUAAAAAAGAACCUUAUGUGGACUUAACCCAUCCACGACAGUCCUUGAUAACAAGAAGUUCGAAGUUACUUAGGGCGCAAGUAAUUAACUUAUUUCUUAGUCUUACUUCUGUUAUAUCAUGAUUGCUAUAGAAUGCUUGAGUAUAAAAUUAAUUCUGAUGGGAAACCUCAAGACCUAUACCUAAUGCCCGACAAAGGCACCUAUCCAAGUUCGUUCUGCUCUGCGGGCUCAGGCAAUUAAAGUAUAACGGUCGUGAUAUUUCUGCAACAAUGAAACAACCAAUAUAUGUUCGAGUACUUGGUUAGUUUUGAUUGGAAGCCUAAAGGCCUACACCAAAGACCACACAAAGGCACCUUUCAUUACUAAACUCGGGCAUAUUUAAUCAAACUAAACAUCUGUUUUACAUCUGUCAUGCUAAAGAUGGCAGUGGCAUGCCUGAACACCUAAAGGUUAAUUUUGAUUGUGAGCUUCAAGGCCUACGCCUAAGGCCCCACAAAGGCACUUUUCAGGAUUAACUUUGUCCUUCUCUUACAGCCUGCCAAUAAGCAGAAGCCCGACAGACAAUAUCAACGGGCGCCAAACCUCUUGGGGAGCUGUGUGCUCGUUGACCAGGAAACGUCCCCACUGGAUAUUCCUUAAGACGAACAGUUUGGAGUAAUCAAAAUGAGGUGAUGUGAUGGGAUCAGGGUGGUUUUGCAGAUAAUGCAAAACCAUCAACCAUGUGUUUUAAUUAUCAUGCAUGCAUGGAUAAAGCUUAUGAAGAGAUGGUGGGAUAAGUAGCACCACCAAAUUUACAAGAUUGGAUCCGGCAAAUGGUGAUGACGUAAUCCCAUUUUAAAAGAUGGGAUUAAGCUUUGAUUGAUGUGAUAAGGUCUAAGGCAUGAAUGUAGGCACAUAAAAGAUAAAAGUUUUUAGAGUUUCAUUUAUUGUGAAUAUGCAUGAGAUAAAUGCGUGGUCAACAGCAACGGUUACAGUGCAAUUGGGAUUGUUUUCCACGACUUAGGCAUGCAUGGCUUUAUAAAUACCAAGCGGCAAGCAACAUGAAAGGGACCUCCAACUCAACAUACAAACUGUCCUGCGCAAACCCUCGCUCUACGCGAAACCUCUCGACAACCUUGAGAUUUUUAUUUUCCUUUUUCGCCAACACAUCUUCAGUUUGGAUAAAUAGUAUUGUGAAGGCAACCGGUAAACAUCUUCAGUUUGGAUAAACAACAUUAUUACCGUAGAGUCAGCCGAUCGCGAAGCACCUUCAGUUUAGAUAAACAGCACCGCGACAAGGCCGACUGGCUAUCUAUCCAAGUCUCAGUCGAGAAGGAUUUUCAAAUCCUUAUUGGCUGAGGUCAUCUCAUCAGCCUUCUUGGCGAAGUGAGGUGUUACCAGGUUACUACAUUCGACACCCUGAGAGCCGAAUUUGAUAUUGAACUUCGCAGAACUAGCAGCCUUGUCUUCAGGCUCUAGAACCCGAAGGCCGAUACAUGUUCCUUCCUCAGCCGCAGUUGCGAGUUUCAGAAGUCAGCAGCGCACCCAACCCAACAAAUUUUACUCACUGGCCAAGCUCGGCCGUCGAAUUGGCAUGCCCCGCACACAAUCGAAGGACGUAGUUAGCUUAUUAAUUACUUGGCCUACGCACCAUGUAGACUUAGUAAUUUUUAGGGUCAACAGGUCCACAACCCAUUUUCCUUUCGCAUAAUUGCAUACUGGAGCUAUUAUCAGAUAAAUAACAAUCAUUUCCCAGAAAAUUGAAAAUUUCCAUGGAAAAUUCAAGAAAACGAAAAAGUAAAACCCAAUAAAAAAAAGCAAAAUUAAAGAUCUAUAGAGAUUAAGAUCAAACCUGGAAGAUGCAGCGGUUAUGGAAGAAAAUCGAGAUCGAACCUGGAGAUGCAGCUGGUACGGGAGAAGAUUGAGAUUGAACCUGGAGAUGCAGCUGCUACGGGAGAGGAUGAGGGGGAAGGCUACUGGAAAAGGCAGCGGCAGAGAAAAAAGAUGGGACGAAGAUGAAGAGGAACCGUCGCGAACUCCUCAGAAAGUGGGUUUGUGGUGGAGGGAGCGUUAAGGUCAAGGAAGAUGCAGCUAAGUUUGUGGUGGAGGAGGAAGAGGAGGCUACCAGAGAGAGAGGGUAGAAGAGAGGGAGGGUACGGGAGAGAUAGGGAGGGUGAUAAUGGAAUUAAUGAAAAACAGUAAGGGUAUUGUUGUCCAAAAAAUUAUAAUUUUGUGUUCCACGAACGUGGAAUGAGUCGUUUCAAGGGAGAAGGUGGAACGAAAAAGUAACCAAAUUUCAUUCCUUGGAACAGCAUGUUCCAAUGUUUUUUGCGCAACAAACGUGAGACGGAACGCCUUGUCCCACUGCGUUCCGUCUCAUCCCACGUACCAAACGGUACCUGAUAUUCAGGAUUGGUUUUAUCUUUUAAAUGAGCCGGAACCAAGCAAUCUGCUUCUGUAGAGCUUGUGGACGGUGAAGCUUAUUUUUUAGAUUGACAGGCAAUGGCAAAUCGGUAGCUGAUGGGAAAGUAAUCCCACACUUUAAAGUUCCUUUGAGGUGUCAUAAGAUCCAUUUAACCAAUCCAAAAUGCAGCUCGGUUGGAGAGGUCAUGAAUAGACAGACAUGAGAGGAAUUAUUUGAUGACAUAGUUUGGACUCCUAGAAUAUGACGCUCUUGGGGCUUUCUAUGCUUAACUGCAAAAGCAAUGUUUGAUCUACAAUCAAAGCUUAAGGUGAAGUUUAUGACCAAUCAUGUUUGGUCGAGUCAAAUUCGUUAGGAAAAUGUCAACGAGACCCAUGUUUUAGACCAUAUUUUGUAGGGGUGUGAUAUCCACACACCUCAUUUUACUUCUAGCACACCUUUUUAAUUCUCGGCCGUCAGAUCGGAUGAAUUGAAGAAGAUCAACGGAUAUAAAUUAUCAAAGGGUGUGCGAGAAGUAAAAUAUGGUAUGUAGAUAGCACACCCCUAUUUUGUAAUCACAACAGGUGGUCUACAAAAUAUGAUUUAGGCAGAUGGUUUCUUCUAGCGUCACCCAAUUCGUUAACCUGUGGAUGAUAUGAUGGAGGAGCCAAGUUAAAAAUUCAAAUUCUUAAGUCUUUCUGCUUUUCUAAUUAAUAAGAGGAGCUUUCAAGAUAAUAGAAAGAAAAGAAAAAAAAACAUUAAAAAACAAAGAGUUUUAAGAACAAAAUAAAAUCAUGCCUGCUGCACCACCAACAUUACCACCGCAUUCUCUCUCCAUCACCCACGCCACCAUGACCACCAUUACCAUCACUCCUUCACCAUCAUCACCACCAAUGCCACCACCUCCCACCACCAUUAUCGCCACAACCACAUACUCCACCACCAUCACAAUUGGGACCAAGGCCACCACCACCCCCACUGUCUUACCAUCUAUGAAGCAUGGACACUACUACAAUAUACCUUAUCAGUGGCGAAGCAAAAACCGACAAGAAACCCAAUUUCUGUCGGAAAUUUAGCAAAAAUUUGACAUAAAACAAUGUAAUGUUAGAUUGGAAUAGCGACACUAAUACUGGCGUCACAAAAGGGCUUCAGUGUCGGUUUGUACACUUAAUCCGUCAGUACGCAACGUCAGUUAAAAGCGACAUUGACACUGACGUCGGUUUAAAGCAACGCAAACUUCAACAUUAUGUCGGUUUAAAGCGACGCUAAUUACCAAUUUAAUUAUAAAAUAUCCAAACUACCAUCGGCUUUGACCGACAUUACAUAACAUAUGGAUACAUAAAAUAAUUAUUAUGACGUCGUUCAUAAGCGAACCAAAUAUAUUAAUAAUAAAAAAAAUUCAUUUUCCGUUUUUAAUUAAUAAUAAUUAAAAAUUAUUAUAUAAAAAUAAAUCCUACCAUAUGUCAAUGAAAAAACAAACAAUUUUAAGCAAACUUCAUAUUAAAAAUAAAAUUUCUACCAACUAUAUAUUAAAUUUAAAAUUAACUACAAUUCCUAAAAAUGUACAACUCAUACAAAUUCUUCCCGAACUCUUGCAAAAGAUUUUGAACCGGUUGUGUGGUUCAUAGUUUUCAACUGCUGAUUAUGCUUAUUUUUUUUGGCAAUCUUCUGAAAAAUAAAAGAAUUUAUUAGACAAAUUUCAAGGUAUAAUAAAAUAAAUCAUGAAACGUUUACCGUUGUUUUUUCUUUAUUGCAGUAUGCCACCAUCGAAAUAUUUCUAUAAUCUUUAACCUCUGCCGAUACAUGUUUCGAAAAUGCACUAGAAUUAUAACUAGACGAAUCAAAUGAACAAGGCUGUUCUUUCCAAUUCCGAAUUGAGAGUCCGUAUCUUUGUUGAGUUGAUACUUAUAAAUACAGAAAAAAACAAUUAAAAACCAAGAAACAAAAAUAAAUUUUCAAUUUAAGCAUAAAACUAGUUAGAAUACAAAACAGAAACUAAAAUUAAUAAUCAUAAUAAUUUUAAAAUGAAACACCUUCGAGCUCUUCCUUUUUGAAGUGGAGUUCCUCAGAAUGUUGAUCUUCAAAAUGCUGAUCCAUAGAAAAUGGGGAAGGAGAAGAGGAAAACCUGAAAAGGAGGAAGAAAGGGACGCACAGAUGAAAUGGGGAAGCAGAAGAAGAAAGUCUGAAAUUGGGGGAGAAAUGAAAGCACGGAUGAAAUGGGAAAGAGAGGGGUUUAAAUAUGGGUACUUAGUUUGCGUCGGUUUAAACCGACGCCAACUUCUGACACACUUUUUGAAAUUCACAUAGCGUCACUUUAAUGAAACUAGUGUCACUUAAAACCAACGCAAACUUCUGACACACUUUUUGAAAUUCACAUAGCGUCGCUUUAAUGAAACUCGGGUCGCUUUAAUGAAAUUAGCAUUGGUUAAAACCGACGCCAACUUCUAACACAUUUUUUGAAAUUCACAUAGCGUCGCUUUGAUGAAACUCGCGUCGCUUUAAUGAAACUAGCGUUGGUUAAAACCGACACUAAGUUUCUCCAUCCAUGUCCUCGUGCAAAACAAGCGGGAAAUUUCCCGCCUAAUAUUUCAAAUACUAUAAUUUUAUAUAUAUUAAUUUUAUAAUUUUAUAACCCUAAAAAAUACUAUAAUAAUUAUAUAUAUAUAUAUAUAUAUUAAUUUAACAAUUUUAUACCCCUAAAAACUAUAAUAAUUAUAUAUAUUAAAUUAAAUUUUAAAAAUUGGUGACCAUUGGAUCGGCUUAAAUAUACAUAUCAUUCAAUUUCUUAAGUGUUAUACGUAAAAAAUAAAUAAAUUUAAAUCUACUUAAUAUAUAUAUAUAUAUAUAUAUAUAUAUAUAUAUAUAUAAAUACACACACCAUUGAACUUGAUGGGAUACGAAUUCUACGAAACUAAUUUCAACGAUCCAACAGUCAAACUUGUUUGUAUAUGCUUCGAGAUCGCAUCAGCAAAAAAUCGCAAAAAACAAACAUUCAGAGAUUAAUUAACGAGACAAAACUUUUCGACGGUUAUAAAACGAAAAAUCACGAUUUAACGGUUAUUUUAACUCCGAUUUUGAUGAUUUUUUUACAGCUACACUCCUUAACCCUAUAUGAAUACAAUGAAUGAGCUCAAUCUUCAAUUUAAAAUAUAUUACACUAUUGGAUACCACAAAUUCUUAUGUUAUACUUAAUGAAAGUAUAAAUAAACUCUAAGUGUUAGUGAGUCUAUCAUUUUGAUAGGAUACGCAUUCUACGAAACUAAUUUCAAUGAUCCAACUGUCAAACUUGUUUAUAUAUGCUUCGAGAUCGCAUAUACCAAAAAUUGCAAAAAACAAAUAUUCAGAGAUCAUGUAAGGAGACAAAACUUUUUUACAGUUAUAAACGAAAAAUCAAGAUUUAACGGUUAUUUUAACUCUGAUUUUGAUGAUUUUUUACAGCUACAUUCCUUGAUUCUAUAUGAAUACAAUGAAUGAGCUCGAUCUUCAAUUUAAAAUAUUUACACUAGUGGAUAUCACAAAUUCUUAUGUUAUAUUUAAUGAAAGUAUAAAUAAACUCUAAGUGUUAGUGAAUCUAUCAUUUUCAUGGGAUACGCAUUCUACGAAACUAAUUUCAACGAUCCAACCGUCAAACUUGUUUAUAUAUACUUCGAGAUCUAAUACGCCAAAAAUUGCAAAAAACAAUCAUUCAGAGAUCAUGUAAGGAGACAAAACUUUUUAACGGUUAUAAACAAAAAAUCACGAUUUAACGGUUAUUUUAACUCCAAUUUUGAUGAUUUUAUACAGCUACACUCUCUGAUCCUAUAUGAAUACAAUGAAUGAGCUCGAUCUUUAAUUUAAAAUAUUUACACUAGUGGAUACCACAAAUUUUUAUAUUAUAUUUAAUGAAAGUAUAAAUAAAUUCUAAGUGUUAGUGAAUCUAUCGUUUUGAUGGGAUACGCAUUCUACGAAACUAAUUUCAACAAUCCAACCAUCAAACUUGUUUAUAUAUGCUUCCAGGUCGCAUACGCAAAAAAUGGAAAAAAACAAACAUUUAGAGAUUAAGUAACGGGACAAAACUUUUCGACGGUUAUAAAUGAAAAAUCACAAUUUAAUGGUUAUUUUAACUCCGAUUUAGAUGAUUUUUUACAACGCCACUCCUUGACCCUAUAUGAAUACAAUGAAUGAAUUCGAUCUUCAAUUUAAAAUAUUUACACUAGGGGAUACCACAAAAUCUUAUGUUAUAUUUAACGAAAGUAUAAAUAAAUUCUAAGUGUUAGUGAAUCUAUCAUUUUGACAUAGAUAUUUAAAAAAAAAACUAAAAUCUAUGUCGCUUGGAACCGACGCAGGCUUUAAAAUAUUUAAAAACAAUACUUUGUGUCGCUUAAAAGAGACACCAAUACUUUAUGUCGCUUAAAAGCGACACUGUUUUGUUUAAAGCGACGCUAGUAUUUAAAAUUAUUAAAAUAUAUGUCGGUUAUAAGCGACAUUAAAUGUUUACGUCAGUUUAAAAGCGACGUAGACAUUUUAUGACGCUUAUAAGUGACAGUAAAUCCGACGUCAUCUUCAGUUAGUGUCGCAACUAUCUUAUCCGUCACUAUAUUAUAUUAAACCGACGCCACCUACUGGCACUAUAAGGCCCUUUUCUAGUAGUAGGAUACGGAUACGGCGAUACGGAAAAUCUCUAAAAAUUAAGAUUCAAUACGCUAUGGAUACGGCAAAUAAAAAUGUAUAUAGCAACAAAAAUACAUUUUAAAACAUAAUUCAUCAUUCAAAUUCAAGUACAUUUGAAUUAUUAGAGAAGGAAAGUUCGAAAUCUAACCCUCUUUAUACAAUAGAAGAAGUGUGAGAGUCGCAUUCAUGGUUUUAAUUAGAGGGAAGCUCUUUGUAUUUAGCAACUUUCAAUUAUAGAUGUCUCCUAUUAAUUUUCUCCUCCUCAUUACCUUUUUUUGAAAGUGUAAAUGUAUCUUAAAAGCAUGAUACGUGUAUCCUAAAUGUAGAAUACGCAUAUCCAUCAUGUCACAUUCGUGUCCAUCAACCAGGGUACGUAUCGGACGAGUAUCCGAGAGUAUCGGACAAGUAUCCGAGAGUAUCGGACAAGUAUCGUAUCCGAUCAAGUAUUGGAUAUGGGAUACGAGACCAAAUAGAAGUAUCCGUGCAUCAUAGCUUACCAUUUGCCACCUACACCUUCGCUGCCACCACCAUGUUAUCCACAGUCACAUUGCCGACCAUCAACUAUCCGUUGUCACACCGCCACCACCCACCAUCAUUGCUACCAACACCACUCUCGUAGCGAUCACCGUCUCUACCACCACUGCCACCAUCUUAAUAAUAUUUCUGAAAACUUUACUACCAAACAUGAAAUAUGAUACGUUUCAAAAAUCAUUCUAGGAUUAAACUACCAGACACACAUUCAAAUCAUAAAAAUGCAUAAUCCUAUUUGUCGUUUUCGUUUUACAAAACAUUUUCAAAAUUCAUUUUGUAAAACGUUACCAGACGAACCCUAAAUUACUAGAGCGAAAUCAUAAUGGCAAAGAACUUUUCCCAUACAAAGGCUUCUCCAUAACUUAACUGAACAGAACUGAAAAUAUGAGAAGUCAAAUGAAGCAAAACAAUACUUCACUUGAACAAAACAAUUUUAUUCCGUAACUUAACCAAUUCAUAUAUUAUUCCAAUAGCAAAUUAUGCAUCUACUCCCCAUUCUUUCAAGCCUUGUAUUACUAUUUCUCUUUCAAUUAUGGAAUGACUAAAAUUUCAGAUCUCGCGUAACCCUACAAAAUCACUACACAGACACUAUUUGUUAGCACCCUCCAAGAAUGGCACGCCUGCAAUCAUUCUCUCUCUCAAGUUUUCUCUUAACACUUAAACCGAAAGAAACACUCAGGACAAAACAUGUGUGUUUACAAGAUCGGACUGUAUCCCAUUUUGGACACGAACAGAAACAAACAAAUCAUAUAGAGGGCAACAAAAAGCAACCUAAAAUAGGCAGCAACACAAUUGCUGCAAUUUAUUACCAUAUUUGCUUUAAAGGCACAUAGAGUGCACGGUACAACUUAACAAAACAGCAACGUUAUUCUUUCGUCGUGGUAGAAACCCAACAUACACAAGCAAAUUAAAGAAGUGCCACCAGGUGGUCAUCUGGUUUAUUUAUAAUCCCUCAGAGGCAUAUAUACUUUGACUCCAAGCAAACUAGCACGCAACAAGGUAAAUACAGUUAAGGUGCUGGUACGAUGAUGGGAGGUGAACUGUGCGACUCAACAUUCCAUAUCUCCAAAACCCCAUGAACAAAGUCAUAGUAACCACCCUUGAGCGCUAGGUUGUUCUCUGCGAGCGCCUUUUGAACGUAAGG
rnacentral:lncRNA from 1 species